GGCAGGCACAGACAGGCAGGGUUGUGCCAGUGUGACCGGGGGCUCCCCCUGAACGCUCUGAGCCGUGUCCCAGGUCUGGCACGUGGCCAGCAGGGUGGACGCCGCCGGGAUGGCUGCUCACUCUGAGUCUGCCUGGCUCUGAGCGCUUGGCAGGCCUGACCCCCCCAGAGAGGCCCCCCUCUGCGAGGCCACACGGACCCAUCCCCCAAGAGAGGGAGGGAGGCUCCGAGACAUGAGACAACACGCCCUGGUAUGCAGCCGGCACCGGGAAGAGCUGGCCCCACACGCAGCGGCGACCCCCAGAGCCUGUGCUGGUCACCGGCAGAGGAUGCCACCCACCCCCGAGGCCGCUGUUCUCCCAGUGUCUCUCUCCCAGAGGCGGGGGUGGGGUGGGGUGGGCAGGGGACACAGCUCUGGAGUGGCUGUAGAGAGUGGAGCCCACCUUCCAGCCAUCCCUGGCCUCUGGGAGAAAGUGGCACCGCGGUUUCCCCUCGGGGAAGCACCCUCUCUCGCUCCCAGGCUGUGCUCUGAGGACCCCAGCCUCCCCCGGAGUCGAACCCAGAGCUGGCAGCUCAGAGCCCUGCGGGCCCCUUGCUACAGGGAUGGUGUCAGGGAGGGCCCGUGAGGGCACCCAGCGCAGUGAGAGUCAGCUUCACCUCUUGGAGGGACCCUCUAGGGGGCAUGGGGCAGAGCCGGGACACGGAGGCGGUAGCAGGUCCUGAUGCGCUGGUCUGAGCCACUGGCUCCAGCUGGCCUCAAGUCAAGGUCAAGUCCCGGGAUUUGCGGUUAAAUGAGGCAGUCAGUGCCCUCUCUGUUUUGGUCACCUGCAUCCCGAGGUUCUGGAUGAGAGCUGUCCUUCGGAACGUCCCCUGGUCCGCACUUGAGAAUCAGGUGGGAAUUUUACCAACUCCUGAUGCCUGUGUCCACUCAGUCACCGUCUCUGGGUGGGGACAGGCACAGGUAUUUUAAAGCCUUCCAGGUGGCUGCCGUGUGCAGCCAGGGCUGACAGCCACUGGCAGAGACACACUGUCUCCCUGGCGGCCUGUGGUCCCGGGGAUGAGGUCACGCAUUUAAUGUCACGCAUUUAAUGGCUCUUUGCCCAAGACAUGAGGUUUUGGAGGGUGCCAGGGUUCAUCUGACUCCCUCCAAGGAAACUGCAGACAUCUGGAAAGAGCACUGGUGGAAGAGACGGUGAGUCUUAAGACCCUGUCCGGAUUAAGAAGCUUCAGGUUUGCGGGCACAGAACCUCUAGAACCUUCCUCACAUGGUCCCAUGGGGCUCUCCCCAGACACGUUGUCCAUCAGGAAAAGGAGACAAAGGAGGCCUUGCGGGAGGUGUUGGUGGUGUUAACCUUACACAUAAAACAGCCAGUUAUCCCACCAGCAAAAACCCGUUUAUUCAGGAAGAGCCGCGAAUUGCAAUCUGGAACCAGGAACCAACGCAGAGCCACGGGCGGGUCCACGGAACAGAGAGGAGGCUCUUUGACGUGGCGGGAAGGGAGGGUCGUUAGAAACAGAAAGGUCGCUGGGGUAAACCGGGAGUUGGCACCAUGGGGACGUCUCCCAGGCUGGGCUGUCGCGGGGGAAGGGUGGGGUAGGUAAGUGGUGUCUGGGGGCAAGCAGCUCCCUCCCGCUAGGUCAGCAGCAGCCACGGGCGCCGGCCUGGAGAGCGCCCCCUGCCGGCCACCCCGCUCCACUCUAACUGAGCUUCCCUGUCAUUAAUGUUCCCAGCCGCAAGUUUAAAACUCAAGCUGCCCAAGCCUUAGCCCCACAGUCCUGGGAAGUCCUUCAAGUGGAAAGGAGUAAAAUACAGGACCGAGGCCUCUUUGCGGGAUCAGCGUAUGGGUAUCUGCUUCCCCGGGGCGUUCUGCAAGGGCACCACGGACCUGGCACUUGAGAUGCCCGAUCUGGCGCGGAGUGGCUCAGUUCAGAGGAGACUGAAAGCCCCGGACACCGCGGAUGCCUGGGCCCGGCUGUGAUGGUGUGCACGCUGCUGCUGUCCCCAGGAAGCCACCGCCACCGAGGCAGGAGAGAUCGCUCGCCAGCCUGGGGGCUACCCCACCUGCCCAGUGUCCAUGCCACUAGCUACUGUCAUGGACCGUCCACACGUGUGAUGUUCACGCCGUGCUGGGAGCAGCUGCUCUUCUUAACCCCCUCUGUAGACGGACAGACUGCCGUUUGCUUCUGCUUUUCUGUGUCCAGGCCAUUUGGGACAUUCCUGGGUUGUGACUGUUACAAUAAGGCUCUUCGGACCAUUCGGGGAGCAGACUUGGUGUGAACUAGGUUCCAUGCCGAGUGUGGGGCUUGAACUCACAACUCUGCGAUCAAGACCUGAGCUGAGAUCAAGAGUCAGAAGCGCAACUGACUGAGCCAUCCUGGCGCUCCUACAUAUUUAAUGUUUUAAGAAAGUAUCCGGCUGUUUUGCGCAGUGGCCGACGGCUCUGCAUCCCUGCUGGCAAGCGUCGGAGUGUCCCGGCCACUCUAAAUCUUCACCGACCCUUGGCGUCUCCAGUCUCCUUGACUGUACCCAUUCUGGCGGGAGCGCAGCGGGGCCUCAUAGCGCCAACGCGGCUGCGCUCUCCUACGCUUGUCGCGCCUACGUCCUCUUUGGGGAAGGGCCUAUUGGGAGCUCAGGCGCGUUUUAAAUCGAGCUGCCUGUCUUCUUACUGAGUUGUCCAUGUCCUCUACACACUCUGAAUGCAAGUCCUUUAGCAGAUGGGAUCUGCAAAUCUUGUUUUCAUCUUUCCAUGCCUUUUCAUCUUCACAGCGUCCUCUGAAGGACGAAGGUUUCAAAUCUAGAUGAAGCUCAAAGUCUCAUUGUUUUGGUGACACGCGGAAGACGUCUCUGCCUGACCCAAAGUCCGUGGUCUUCUGGAGUUUCAUAGCGUUCGUUCCUGCCUUUAGUUCUAUGGUCUAUCCCGAGGUAAUUUUGCGAAUGGUGGGAGCUAAGGAUUCCAGCCGUUGGUCUCCACAGAGAUCAGAUUUGUCCCCACGCCACUUACGCAAAGACAACCUUCUCCCCCACUAAACUUCCCUGGCCCCUUGGCCCCGAAGCCAUGGACCACACACAUAGGGGCCUAUUUACGGGCUCCUUUCUGUUCCUUCGAUGUAUGGGUCAUUGUUCUCCUGCCAAUACAACAGCUUUGAUUGCUUAUGGCUUAAUACAUAUGAAGUCCGGAAGCCAGAGAGCGGAAGGCCUGUGACUCUUCCCAUCUCAGAUUUAGCAGUCCCGUCCGUCGGGACGGCACAUCGUUCCGUGUACUCGGGCUUUGAGCUCAUCCAUGUUAGCAGUUUCGGUCUACACGCCUUCCCCGUGUUUGUAUCUAACGAUUUCCAUCUAUUGCGUGGUCUCCAGUCGCUCGCUGUAGCUACACAGGAAUGUUAGUUUCUGUGCGGGCACCAUGCGUCCCUUGGCUUUGCUAAACUCAACUGCUAGUUCCGGUGGCUCUUCUUUGGAGACGUCUUGGGCUUCUCCAUCCACUCCAUCUUGUCAUCGGCAAGUAGAGACAGUGAGGCUCUUUCUCUUCCAGCCUGAGUGACUUUCUCGUCCUUGCCUCGCUGCGCUGCCCGGGACACCCCAUCGGACGACUGCGACGAAGCGUGGUGAGUGCAGUGACGGUGCUUACAGGCGUGAUAACUGGAAGGGUCAGCACCGGAGAAGGCUGCGUGCGGGGGACAGAGCUUCACUGAGUGUGGCAACGUCUGUUAUUUAAAAAUGAUUUCACCGUAAGAAGCUAAGCCGUGGGGCGGGGGUGGUGACAGUGGCAUUCUUGCCUUGUUUCCAGAGGAAACCCUCGUCUUCCAGCACCACGUGGGACGCGAGCUGUAGGGUUUUGCGUGUGCCCUUUACCAGGUUAGAGAUGAUCCUUUUCUGCUCAGUUCGCUAAGAGUUUUGUUUGCUUGUUUUUAAAUCAUGAAUGGGUAAUGCGUCUGGUCAAGUCCUUUUCCUGUAUCUUUGGAGAUGAUCAUAUAGUUUUUCCUUCUUAGUCUGUCCAUGUGGUGGAUUUUGGCGAUUUUCGAAUAUUAAACCAAUCUUGCAUUCCCAGAGGAAGCCACACUUUCUCAUGAACUAUUUUCACUUUCAUACGCAGCCGGAUUCAACCAGCUAAUGGUUUACUGAAGAUUUUUCAUCUAUGUUCAUGGGGGCGGGGAUACUGGUCUAGAUUUUUCUUUUUUUUUUUGGUAAUAUAUUUGUCUGGUUGUGGUAUCAGGAUAGUGAAGCCCCCAUAAAAUGAGUUGGGAAGUGUCCAAAAUCAUAGAAGAUUUUGUGGGGGCUUGGCAUCCUUUCUUCUUCAAAUCUUUGAUACGAUUCACCAGUAAAACCAUUUUCUUUGCGUGGAGGCAUUUUAUUUUUGUUUUAUUUAGACCUUUUUAACAACUUUA